GUAGGGUCCAAGCGUUAAUCGGAAUUACUGGGCGUAAAGCGUGCGCAGGCGGUUGUGCAAGACCGAUGUGAAAUCCCCGAGCUYAACUUGGGAAUUGCGCUCGAAACUACUUUGCUGGAGUGUGGCAGAGGAAGGUGGAAUUCCACGUGUAGCGGUGAAAUGCGUAGAGAUGUGGAGGAACACCAAUGGCGAAGGCAGCCUUCUGGGCCAACACUGACGCUCAUGCACGAAAGCGUGGGGAGCAAACAGGAUUAGAUACCCUGGUAGUCCACGCCCUAAACGAUGACGACUAGUUGUUGGAGGAGUUAAAUCCUUUAGUAACGCAGMKRRCGCGCGAAGUCGUCCGCCUGGGGAGUACGGUYGCAAWAUUA
rnacentral:rRNA from 1 species